UACGGAGGGGGCUAGCGUUGUUCGGAAUUACUGGGCGUAAAGCGCACGUAGGCGGCUUUGUAAGUUAGAGGUGAAAGCCCAGGGCUUAACCCUGGAAUUGCCUUUAAGACUGCAUCGCUAGAAUUGUGGAGAGGUAAGUGGAAUUCCGAGUGUAGAGGUGAAAUUCGUAGAUAUUCGGAAGAACACCAGUGGCGAAGGCGACUUACUGGACACAUAUUGACGCUGAGGUGCGAAAGCGUGGGAGCAACAGG
rnacentral:rRNA from 1 species